rnacentral:rRNA from 1 species
UACGGAGGGGGCUAGCGUUGCUCGGAAUUACUGGGCGUAAAGGGCGCGUAGGCGGCACUGUUAGUCAGGCGUGAAAUUCCUGGGCUCAACCUGGGGACUGCGCUUGAUACGGCAGAGCUAGAGGAUGGAAGAGGCUCGCGGAAUUCCCAGUGUAGAGGUGAAAUUCGUAGAUAUUGGGAAGAACACCGGUGGCGAAGGCGGCGAGCUGGUCCAUUACUGACGCUGAGGCGCGACAGCGUGGGGAGCAAACAGG